CCAGCUGCCGACGUUUACAUUUUGGAUAUUGUUUGUUUUUUCUUUUUCUGAGUAAACGUGGAAAUGGAGAUUACAGAAGUUAACAAGCAGUUUUUAUACCUGCCAGGACAUACUCAUCUGUCCAGGCACAAUGAGCUGUCAAAUCUGGACCUAAAUCCAUUGAACUUGUAGAGAUAUCAUGGGAGACUCACUCUGGCAGGGAUUGCUCACAUGGGACCAAGCAAAACCUGGACCAGGAUGAUUACACAAUAAUUCCAUGACUAGGAAUGUAAACUACUGUUGCUGGAAAGGUGAUGACAGGUAGUUUUUGUACCAUUUGCAAUCAGCUGAAAGAAAAACACUCAGAACUUCCUAAAUGGCUUUUGGUACUGUUUGAGUUCAACCUUGUCUUUUGUGUAUUUGUUUGUCUAUUUCUGUAGGAUUAUCUAACAAUUUGCUGCGUAGAUCCUCCCACAAAGGCGUGCUUGUAUUGUGUGGUUUACAAGUGCGUAAGAUCUGGAGUUAAAGAAGCAGUUAAAAGAAGAAGCAAUAUUUCAGAAACGACUGCAAAAUGACUGACCAGAAUAUUCAAAUAGUACAGUAACGUUUAUAGCUUCAGAAGUGGAAACUUGUUUAUGUGCUUUAGUUUUAUCUGCUUGAGGGGUGACACCGUAGAACUGGUUUUAUUUUAAAAUAAUAAUAAUAAAAAAAAAAAAAACCUGUAUGACUAUUUUACCUUUUAUUGUGAUAUCUAGAAUCAUUUAAAAUAUGUUCUGCCUUUAUUUGGAAACCAAUGUAAAUGUUUUUGUUUUUUUAAUUUAGCAAUUUUAUGUGUGUUUUGGUGUUAAUUGUAAAAAUAAAGAUACAAAAACAUUUCGUGUACAAAUCAUUGUUGGUUACUAACAAGAAACAUCAAAUACGGUGAACUACCUCUGAAAAUAAGAAUCCCAUCUGUGCUGCAUAUUGUCAGGAAUGUAUUGCACCACUCAGUCCUGAGUUACUCCACCU